rnacentral:rRNA from 1 species
GAUGAACGCUGGCGGCGUGCCUAAUACAUGCAAGUCGAGCGAACAGACGAGGAGCUUGCUCCUCUGACGUUAGCGGCGGACGGGUGAGUAACACGUGGAUACCCUACCUAUAAGACUGGGAUAACUUCGGGAAACCGGAGCUAAUACCGGAUAAUAUAUUGAACCGCAUGGUUCAAUAGUGAAAGACGGUUUUGCUGUCACUUAUAGAUGGAUCUGCGCCGCAUUAGCUAGUUGGUAAGGUAACGGCUUACCAAGGCAACGAUGCGUAGCCGACCUGAGAGGGUGGUCGGCCACACUGGAACUGAGACACGGUCCAGACUCCUACGGGAGGCAGCAGUAGGGAAUCUGCCGCAAUGGGCGAAAGCCUGACGGAGCAACGCCGCGUGAGUGAUGAAGGUCUUCGGAUCGUAAAACUCUGUUAUUAGGGAAGAACAAAUGUGUAAGUAACUAUGCACGUCUUGACGGUACCUAAUCAGAAAGCCACGGCUAACUACGUG